UACGUAUUCCCUCCGUUCGAAAAUACUUGUCAUUAAAAUGGACAAAAAAGGAUGCAUUUAGAACUAAAAUACAUCUAGAUACAGCCCCUUUUAUUCAUAUUGAUGAUAAGUAUUUCCGGACGGAAGGAGUACGAG
rfam:Triticum aestivum genome assembly, contig: Triticum_aestivum_CS42_TGACv1_scaffold_499359_6BL